GCAAGAUGUGACUGCCUCGCCAAAUAAGAAGUUCCAGCGUGAGCUAAGCACCAAGUGGGUGUUGAAUACAGUGAGUACCGAGGCCCACGUGCUGCUGGGGAAGACCCUACAGAACCACAUGCUGGACCUCCGCAUCACCAACUCCAAGCUCUUUUGGAGGGCACUGGCCAUGUUGCAGCGGUUCUCUGGACAGUCCAAGGCUCGCUGCAUCGAGAGCCUCCUCCAAGCAAUCCAUUUU